rnacentral:rRNA from 1 species
GACGAACGCUGGCGGCGUGCUUAACACAUGCAAGUCGAACGGUAAGGCUCCAGCUUGCUGGGGUACACGAGUGGCGAACGGGUGAGUAACACGUGGGUGACCUGCCCUGCACUUCGGGAUAAGCCUGGGAAACUGGGUCUAAUACCGGAUAGGACCAUGGUGUGGAUACUGUGGUGGAAAGUUUUUCGGUGUGGGAUGGGCCCGCGGCCUAUCAGCUUGUUGGUGGGGUAAUGGCCUACCAAGGCGGCGACGGGUAGCCGGCCUGAGAGGGUGGACGGCCACAUUGGGACUGAGACACGGCCCAGACUCCUACGGGAGGCAGCAGUGGGGAAUAUUGCACAAUGGGCGGAAGCCUGAUGCAGCGACGCCGCGUGGGGGAUGACGGCCUUCGGGUUGUAAACUCCUUUCACCAUCGACGAAGGGUUUCUGACGGUAGAUGGAGAAGAAGCACCGGCUAACUACGUG